UUUGGUAUGUUUAAACUUUUAAAGUUUAUGUUUGGUUGGUGAACCUUAACACCUCAUUAAGUUGUGUCUUUUCGGUCACUUGUAAGUGUUUGUAAAUGAGGUUCUUUUGGUAUGUUUUAAUGGCUUGCAAAUGGUCAUAUGUGAUAUAUUUUGGUACAAAUUUGAGCUAGGCUGUUAUGCAUAAAAUGAGGCAAUAUUGGCAUGUUUUGGUAAUUAA
rnacentral:lncRNA from 1 species